GGACUCAAUCUUUCGAUCAUCAUAGGACUGUUCCUCUUAUCUACCGAGGUUGAUAGAUACCAUCUUGGUGCAAUCUGGUUCCUACAAUGAAUAUGCUACAGCCAACAUACACCUUCAGGUUUUGAAUGGUUAGGAGACUGAGUUAUGGUGUAGUCAAACUAUAACACACUCAAGGUGAACUGUCGAUGCACCUCAGGUCAAAGAACUAGACACACAGCUGUAGCAUCGAGCUAGUCAUCGACGAGAAGUUAGACUUCCUUAUGACUGCUCGAGGUGGUCACGCUCAGUACUCUCAUUCUCAAUGAAUAUCUGUACUCUCACUCCGAUGUCUCCACACC
rnacentral:lncRNA from 1 species